rnacentral:rRNA from 1 species
GACAGAGGGUGCAAACGUUGUUCGGAAUAACUGGGCGUAAAGCGCGUGUAGGCGGCGUAGCAAGUCGGGCGUGAAAGCCCACGGCUCAACCGUGGAAGAGCACUCGAAACUGCUGCGCUAGAGUUCUGGAGAGGAAGGCGGAAUGCCUGGUGUAGAGGUGAAAUUCGUAGAUAUCAAGCGGAACACCGGUGGCGAAGGCGGCCUUCUGGACAGUGACUGACGCUGAAACGCGAAAGCGUGGGGAGCAAACAGG